rnacentral:rRNA from 1 species
AGUGAACGCUGGCGGUAGGCCUAACACAUGCAAGUCGAACGGCAGCACAGUAAGAGCUCGCUCUUACGGGUGGCGAGUGGCGGACGGGUGAGGAAUACAUCGGAAUCUACUUUUUCGUGGGGGAUAACGUAGGGAAACUUACGCUAAUACCGCAUACGACCUACGGGUGAAAGCAGGGGAUCUUCGGACCUUGCGCGAUUGAAUGAGCCGAUGUCGGAUUAGCUAGUUGGCGGGGUAAAGGCCCACCAAGGCGACGAUCCGUAGCUGGUCUGAGAGGAUGAUCAGCCACACUGGAACUGAGACACGGUCUAGACUCCUACGGGAGGCAGCAGUGGGGAAUAUUGGACAAUGGGCGCAAGCCUGAUCCAGCCAUACCGCGUGGGUGAAGAAGGCCUUCGGGUUGUAAAGCCCUUUUGUUGGGAAAGAAAAGCAGCAGGUUAAUACCCCGCUGUUCUGACGGUACCCAAAGAAUAAGCACCGGCUAACUUCGUG